GUAGGUGGCAAGCGUUGUCCGGAAUUAUUGGGCGUAAAGCGCGCGCAGGCGGUUCUUUAAGUCUGAUGUGAAAGCCCACGGCUCAACCGUGGAGGGUCAUUGGAAACUGGAGAACUUGAGUACAGAAGAGGAAAGCGGAAUCCCACGUGUAGCGGUGAAAUGCGUAGAGAUGUGGAGGAACACCAGUGGCGAAGGCGGCUUUCUGGUCUGUAACUGACGCUGAGGCGCGAAAGCGUGGGGAGCAAACAGGAUUAGAUACCCUGGUAGUCCACGCCGUAAACGAUGAGUGCUAAGUGUUAGGGGGGUUUCCGCCCCCCUUAGUGCUGCAGCUAACGCAUUAAGCACUCCGCCUGGGAGUACGGCCGCAAGGCUG
rnacentral:rRNA from 1 species